UACGGAGGGAGCUAGCGUUGUUCGGAAUUACUGGGCGUAAAGCGCGUGUAGGCGGGUCUUUAAGUCAGGGGUGAAAUGCCAAGGCUCAACCUUGGAACUGCCUUUGAUACUGGAGACCUUGAGUCCGGGAGAGGUGAGUGGAAUUGCGAGUGUAGAGGUGAAAUUCGUAGAUAUUCGCAAGAACACCAGUGGCGAAGGCGGCUCACUGGCCCGGAACUGACGCUGAGAUGCGAAAGCGUGGGGAGCAAACAGG
rnacentral:rRNA from 1 species